rnacentral:tRNA from 2 species
UGGGAUGUCGUCUAACGGUAGGACAACGGAUUCUGGUUCCGUCAGUGUAGGUUCGAUUCCUGCCAUCCCAGCCA